CCAUGCAUGUCUCAGUACAAGCCUAAUUAAGGUGAAACCGCGAAAGGCUCAUUAAAUCAGUUAUGGUUCCUUAGAUCGUACCCACAUUUACUUGGAUAACUGUGGUAAUUCUAGAGCUAAUACAUGCAAACAGAGCUCCGACCGGAGACGGAAGGAGCGCUUUUAUUAGAUCAAAACCAAUCGGCGGCGGGUUCGCCCGUCGUCGUACAUCUUGGUGACUCUGAAUAACUUUUUGCUGAUCGCACGGUCCAGCACCGGCGACGCAUCUUUCAAAUGUCUGCCUUAUCAACUGUCGAUGGUAGGUUCUGCGCCUACCAUGGUUGUAACGGGUAACGGGGAAUCAGGGUUCGAUUCCGGAGAGGGAGCCUGAGAAACGGCUACCACAUCCAAGGAAGGCAGCAGGCGCGCAAAUUACCCACUCCCGGCACGGGGAGGUAGUGACGAAAAAUAACGAUACGGGACUCAUCCGAGGCCCCGUAAUCGGAAUGAGUACACUCUAAACCCUUUAACGAGGAUCAAUUGGAGGGCAAGUCUGGUGCCAGCAGCCGCGGUAAUUCCAGCUCCAAUAGCGUAUAUUAAAGUUGUUGCGGUUAAAAAGCUCGUAGUCGAAUCUGUGUCUCGCGCCGCCGGUUCAUCGCUMGCGGUGUUUAACUGGCGUGUCGCGGGACGUCCUGCCGGUGGGCUCAGCCCCCUUCACGGGGGGCGGCCCAACUACGCAUCCCGCCGCGGUGCUCUUCGCUGAGUGUCGAGGUGGGCCGGCACGUUUACUUUGAACAAAUUAGAGUGCUUAAAGCAGGCUCAAACUUCGCCUGAAUAUUCUGUGCAUGGAAUAAUGGAAUAGGACCUCGGUUCUAUUUUGUUGGUUUUCGGAACCCCGAGGUAAUGAUUAAUAGGAACGGAUGGGGGCAUUCGUAUUGCGACGUUAGAGGUGAAAUUCUUGGAUCGUCGCAAGACGGACGGAAGCGAAAGCAUUUGCCAAAAACGUUUUCAUUGAUCAAGAACGAAAGUUAGAGGUUCGAAGGCGAUCAGAUACCGCCCUAGUUCUAACCAUAAACGAUGCCAGCUAGCGAUCCGCCGACGUUCCUCCGAUGACUCGGCGGGCAGCUUCCGGGAAACCAAAGCUUUUGGGUUCCGGGGGAAGUAUGGU
rnacentral:rRNA from 1 species